UGGUGAUGAUGUAUGAUCUCACGAUGGUCUGCAGAGCCCUAGUAUGAACCGGGCGUUGCUGAAGCUGCCAGUCUGGCAUUUGCUGAACCAAAGAG